rnacentral:rRNA from 1 species
CACAGAGUUAGCCGGUGCUUCCUUUGAGGGUACCGUCACUGCUCCCGAUUAUUUACCGAGAACGCUUUCGUCCCCCCUGACAGCGGUUUACACCCCGAAGGGCGUCCUCCCGCACGCGGCGUCGCUGGGUCAGCCUUUCGGCCAUUGCCCAAAAUUCCCCA